ACACUCCUACGGGAGGCAGCAGUGGGGAAUUUUGGACAAUGGGCGAAAGCCUGAUCCAGCAAUGCCGCGUGUGUGAAGAAGGCCUUCGGGUUGUAAAGCACUUUUGUCCGGAAAGAAAUCCUUGGCUCUAAUACAGUCGGGGGAUCACGGUACCGGAAGAAUAAGCACCGGCUAACUACGUGCCAGCAGCCGCGGUAAUACGUAGGGUGCGAGCGUUAAUCGGAAUUACUGGGCGUAAAGCGUGCGCAGGCGGUUUGCUAAGACCGAUGUGAAAUCCCCGGGCUCAACCUGGGAACUGCAUUGGUGACUGGCAGGCUAGAGUAUGGCAGAGGGGGGUAGAAUUCCACGUGUAGCAGUGAAAUGCGUAGAGAUGUGGAGGAAUACCGAUGGCGAAGGCAGCCCCCUGGGCCAAUACUGACGCUCAUGCACGAAAGCGUGGGGAGCAAACAGGAUUAGAAACCCCGGUAGUCCCAU
rnacentral:rRNA from 1 species